GUAGGUGGCAAGCGUUGUCCGGAAUUAUUGGGCGUAAAGCGCGCGCAGGCGGUUCUUUAAGUCUGAUGUGAAACGCCCACGGCUCAACCGUGGAGGGUCAUUGGAAACUGGAGAACUUGAGUACAGAAGAGGAAAGCGGAAUUCCACGUGUAGCGGUGAAAUGCGUAGAGAUGUGGAGGAACACCAGUGGCGAAGGCGGCUUUCUGGUCUGUAACUGACGCUGAGGCGCGAAACGCGUGGGGAGCAAACAGGGAUUAGAUACCCUGGUAGUCCACGCCGUAAACGAUGAGUGCUAAGUGUUAGGGGGUUUCCGCCCCCUUAGUGCUGCAGCUAACGCAUUAAGCACUCCGCCUGGGGAGUACGGCCGCAAGGCUG
rnacentral:rRNA from 1 species